UACAGAGGGUGCAAGCGUUAAUCGGAAUUACUGGGCGUAAAGCGCACGUAGGUGGCUGGGUAAGUUGGAUGUGAAAUCCCCGGGCUUAACUUGGGAAUUGCAUUCAAGACUGCCUUGCUAGAGUGUGGAAGAGGGAAGCGGAAUUCCAGGUGUAGCGGUGAAAUGCGCAGAUAUCUGGAGGAACACCGGUGGCGAAGGCGGCAUCCUGGACCAAUACUGACACUGAGGAGCGAGAGCCAGGGGAGCAAACGGG
rnacentral:rRNA from 1 species